rnacentral:rRNA from 1 species
UACGAAGGGGGCUAGCGUUGCUCGGAAUCACUGGGCGUAAAGGGUGCGUAGGCGGGCAGGUAAGUCAGUGGUGAAAUCCCCGAGCUUAACUUGGGAACUGCCGUUGAUACUAUCUGUCUUGAAUACUAGUGGAGGUAAGCGGAAGUAGUGUCAUGUAGCGGUGAAAUGCUUAGAUAUGAACAUAGAACACCAAGUUGCGAAGGCAGCUUGCUACACAGUUAUUGACCGGCUGAGGCAACGGAAAGCGUCGGGGAUCAAACAGG